GACGAACGCUGGCGGCGUGCUUAACACAUGCAAGUCGAACGGAAAGGCCCUGCUUUUGUGGGGUGCUCGAGUGGCGAACGGGUGAGUAACACGUGAGUAACCUGCCCUUGACUUUGGGAUAACUUCAGGAAACUGGGGCUAAUACCGGAUAGGAGCUCCUGCUGCAUGGUGGGGGUUGGAAAGUUUCGGCGGUUGGGGAUGGACUCGCGGCUUAUCAGCUUGUUGGUGGGGUAGUGGCUUACCAAGGCUUUGACGGGUAGCCGGCCUGAGAGGGUGACCGGCCACAUUGGGACUGAGAUACGGCCCAGACUCCUACGGGAGGCAGCAGUGGGGAAUAUCGCACAAUGGGCGGAAGCCUGAUGCAGCAACGCCGCGUGCGGGAUGACGGCCUUCGGGUUGUAACCGCUUUCGCCUGUGACGAAGCGUGAGUGACGGUAAUGGGUAAAGAAGCACCGGCUAACUACGUG
rnacentral:rRNA from 1 species